CGCAGGGAGGAGGAGAUUUGCAUGAGGAGCCCCUUGCAGAGCAUAAGAGCCGCCCAGAGGCCACCUGCCCAGCUGCGGGCUCAGAGGCUGAACCUGGGGUGUCUCCGCCAUGGCUUGGACCCCUCUCCUGCUCCCCCUGCUCACUCUCUGCACAGGCUCUGUGGCCUCCUAUGAGCUGACCCAGUCGGGCUCUUUGUCAGUGGCCCCGGGAGGGAGGGCCAGCAUCACCUGCACUGGAGAUUUCCUGGAUAAAAAAUAUACUUCCUGGCACCAGCAGAAGCCCGGCCAGGCCCCUGUGGCGGUCAUUUACAAGGAUAGCGAGCGGCCCUCAGGGAUCCCUGCCCGAUUCUCAGGCUCCAGCUCCGGGAAGACACACACCCUGACCAUCAGCGGGGUCCUGGCCGAGGACGAGGCUGACUAUUACUGUCAGUCAUGGGACAGCAGUGGUAAUGCUCACAGUGACACAGGCAGAUGGGGAAGUGGGACAAAAACCUGUCCCCAUCUGGGUCACACGCUCCGCAAGCCCCAGGAGGACUGUAGGUCUCCCAGCCCAUCUGAGCUCAUGAAGCCCAAGGACCUGGCAGCCUGGGUUCUGAACAACCAAACCCGAGCUGUGGGCACUGAGGAGUCCCCCCAGGUCCCUGCUCAGGGCUGA